AGUAAUACAAACACGAGGCUAGCGAACCAUUUAGCUGCGCUCGUAGCUUGUGGAAGGAAUGCGAUGCGAGCACUAUAACUCCCCCAAGCCCACGGUAUCUACAAAUCUAUAAAGCUCUUCUUUCCGUUGCCACAGCAUACAUACAUAGGUAAGAGAAGAGGGGUAUGGGGUGGGCGGGCAGGGGUUGCCUUAUCGUAGCAGCCAGCAUGAGUGCUGCGGUUGAAGCUCCGAAGAAUCAAGCGGGACUGUACCGAUGGACCAACGUGCUGAGGUCUCGCCAGAACCCGUCGUCUCCGUCGACGAGGUCGUCUUCAACCGUCGUCAAGAGCAAAGGAGUGGAAGGUGGAGAUGAGAGAGCCAAGCAGUCUGAGGAAUCUCUUCGGGCAAUCUCUCAUUUGACUACCAAGGAAUCCACUCUUCACCCACCGUAGAGGGGAUUAACCUGAAAACCAAAAAGGGCAAACAAGAGAACAAUAAGAGUUCAGUGUCAAUUUUCUUCUCCCUUUAAGCCCGAGAUGCUGCCUUGCAAAGAAACUAGUGUUUCCUCUAGAUGCUAAUAUAGAACAAGAACCUCCUCCUCUGCCAACUUGUAACUAUUCCAGCACAAAUAAAGAUUGAAGGUCGUGCUCAA